rnacentral:rRNA from 1 species
CCUACGGGAGGCAGCAGUGGGGAAUAUUGGACAAUGGGCGAAAGCCUGAUCCAGCCAUGCCGCGUGUGUGAGGAAGGCCUUCGGGUUGUAAAGCACUUUCAGUGGGGAAGAAAGCCUUGGGGCUAAUACCCUCGAGGAAGGACAUCACCCACAGAAGAAGCACCGGCUAACUCCGUGCCAGCAGCCGCGGUAAUACGGAGGGUGCGAGCGUUAAUCGGAAUUACUGGGCGUAAAGCGCGCGUAGGCGGUCUGAUAAGCCGGUUGUGAAAGCCCCGGGCUCAACCUGGGAACGGCAUCCGGAACUGUCAGGCUAGAGUGCAGGAGAGGAAGGUAGAAUUCCCGGUGUAGCGGUGAAAUGCGUAGAGAUCGGGAGGAAUACCAGUGGCGAAGGCGGCCUUCUGGACUGACACUGACGCUGAGGUGCGAAAGCGUGGGUAGCAAACAGGAUUAGAUACCCGAGUAGUC